rnacentral:rRNA from 1 species
UUAGGAAUCUUCCACAAUGGGCGAAAGCCUGAUGGAGCGACGCCGCGUGAGGGAUGAAGGCCUUAGGGUUGUAAACCUCUAAAAGAGGGACGAUAAUGACGGUACCUCUUGAAUAGCACCGGCUAACUCCGUGCCAGCAGCCGCGGUAAUACGGAGGGUGCAAGCGUUAUCCGGAAUCACUGGGCGUAAAGGACGCGUAGGCGGUCUGUUAAGUCCGAUGUUAAAUCCCGGGGCUCAACCCCGGAUAAGCGUUGGAUACUGGCAGGCUAGACGGUUGGAGAGGCGAGUGGAAUUACCAGUGUAGCGGUGGCAUGCGUAGAUACUGCUAGGAACACCCAUUGCGAAGGCAGCUCGCUGGACAACACGUGACGCUGAGGCGCGAAAGUGUGGGGAGCAAACC